CGGUCCAAGGAGGUGGCUUUAGGUGACUGAAGGAAUCCCUCCUGCCCCUACCAAGAGAGUGAAUGGAAACGUGAGACAUAAACAUCAUGCUACAGUCAGUCACAUACAUGUGGGUCCACACGCAGAUCGCUGGUACUGGAAGACCUCCCAAGGUACCUUUGUUCCUGCUCAGUUUGACAGCUCAAAUUUGAUUUCUGUUCUGGAUCUCUUUCUAGAGGAGAAAAUGGCAACGAUCACAGAAUGUUGAUAAUGUGCACAAUAAAAAGCAGACCUCACUAUCAUCCUCAUUUCAUUGGCAGUAUAUUGGCAUUUUGACGUGCCCUGUUGACAACACCAGUUUGUAGACCAGCCCUGGAUGUCUCCUUUUUCAUUUAAGAGGUUCAGCAUGUGCUGCCAGGCAUGCAGCGGCUCCCUCAUUGUCCCAGUGAGGGCUUCAAAACUUCUCAUUUCUAAGGUUUAUAAAACUUAUUUCCUGGAGCAUGCAGAACCCUUGGACAUCAGCAGGAACUAGAGAAGACUAAAACUGUCUCUAUUCUCUUUCUGUGCCUCAUUAAGUGCAGUGGGAUUUGAAUAUGGGGAACCACACACUGAAGAUGACAAACAGAUUUUCCUAUUAUCUAAGAAGCCGUUCUUUCACAGAUGCAGCCUUUAUUUGACAAGCGCUCUGCUGAGCCUAAGAUCAAGCACAGCAGACCAGAGUUGACUUCUGAUUAAACUCAACAGCUUUUCUUGAUUCAUGUAGGACUUGACUCCAAGCAUAGACAUCUGGCACAAACUUUGGAUGCUAGGAUGUCAUAUUUACUUACUUCUUCCCUUUGAAUACACACAGAUACAUGCAUAUGGAAGUGGCACGAGAUAAUUUUGUUAAAACCCCAUUUAUUUAUUUAGCGCACUCACUUCCCGCCGUUCAUUAUUGCUGCCUGAAGUACUUCAUCUCACAGAGAACGUUAUUAGGACCCAACGACACAGCAUAUGGCCACGUUUGCUGUUCUGCAUACAGGCUGCUUUGACAAAAGAGCAGGAUCGUCACAAGAUAUAAAAAGCACAGGAGAGAAGGACUGCUGGUGUGCAGGUAUUCAAUUUCUCCUUGUCUGUAUCUUCUGUGGUUUGAAUCUCAUUUGAAGGUGACAGUGCCAGUCCCUAUCUAACUACAGACAGAGAAGGGAGAGACAAGAGACUCAAUGUGCUGUGUGCACAUUGUCAAUACAUGUCUUUGUUUGCCUUUCUACAAAGAAAGAGCGAUUUCUACAAGGCUCAUUUCCUCCAUCAGACUCAGAACAGCCCUUGCAACCCUUGCAAUUGUGUCUGGUAGGCAAGACACCAAGACAGCAUCUCUCCCAGGAACAAAGGACUUCUCAAAGAAACGUUCCUGGGACAGCAUCACUCACUGCAGUCAGUCCUACAACACCUCCGUUUCUCUGCUUGCUCUUGGCACCUGACUUGAGAUGGCCAUCGUGAGCUGGCGCUGCCUGUUGUAACAGCACCUCCGUUUAGCUCAUUCCUCUCUCUCUUGCAACUUCUUACAGCUACUUCAGCCCCAAGAGCAAAUCUUCACAAGCCCAGGAUGCAAAAACAAUGCGUACUGCUUGUUUUCUUGCCCAGAACCCUGUCUGUACAAGCAGCCCCAGGAAUACGUGCCAAUGCUGAUCAAUACACAUCAAUGAAACGACCCAUUUCAUUAGCAGCAGAGCUCUGGAGGCAGCCUCUCUCACUGCAAGCUGGCUGGGUGCCACGAUGAGCUGCUUUCAAUCUCACCUUCUGCAACUUGCUGCAUAACUGGCAGACAACAGAUGAGAAUUCAGGUAGACUGUGUUAAUUCCAUCAUUAAUUUUACUGAAAGAAAGGCAACGUGGGAAAUAAAACACUUCCUCAAUUUCUCCUCUUGAACAUGUGGAAUUCAAGUCAAAAGCUGGAAGGUUUUGUAGCAUACGACACCAUAUAACUCCCAACAAUGACGACGAGCAACACUGACAAUAAGGCUCUGGCAACUUGGGAUAUCGCUGUAUUGGCUGAAACCUAAAAGCACCAGGCUUUGGACCUGACAUUGCUCAGCCCACACCAUGUCUGAGGCUACAGCCAGCGUAACUAGAAGCUGAGCACACUCUGCUUCUCUGCUUCCAUCUGCCUAAGUCCCAGGUGCAGAAGCCAAAGCCGUAACUCAUGAGGUUUACCGCUGACCUGUCAUUUGGAUGACUGCUCCAAGCAACGAGUACCAGAUAAUGAAAAAUUGUGGGGAGAAACAGGGAUUUAUAGAACCAAGUGAACGUGCAAAAACGAGCUUGAGCAAUUACGGUUUAACGAGGCUGUCACUGACCAGAAUCAAUCAGCAGCAGUCAGAAGAGUGAACUUGUACCAGGCUAAUCAGAAGUGACAAAAGAAACUUGCUUUGGAAAGGACUCCUGGAACAGGUCACCCUUGACAGCCAUGAGCAAAAGCCUACAAAGGCACCGCGUUUUGCUGCAUGCCAAUGGCAUGCUCAGACGUCAGCACCACAAUCUGCACGGAUAAUUCCCGGCUUGAAAGAACUCUCCAGCUCUGCAGCCCUGCAGGACUUGCGCUCAGUUCUGGACCUGCUGCUGCUUCAAUGCUAGCCUGGUGUAGGGAGGCCUGAGAUCUGUGAUGGUUGCUGUUAACAAACAGCCAUUUCAGUGAGCUGCUUUCACUUCUCUGCAGAAGCAAAAUCAUAGCCUUCUGUGAUUGAAAACAGAGUAAGGAAGAUGCACUAUAUGCAUCUCAGUAGCCAAGGGUACAAAUGAAACUGGGCUGGUACACAGUUAAUGCCAAAGAUGAUUAAAAAAUAGGCAGAGAAGAUGUCAAAGAGCAAGAGAGGAAAACGGAGAAGGAAAGACCUGCAGGAUGAGUGGAUAAGGAAAUGUCAAAACAGAAAUUCUGGGGACAGCAUGUGAGAAAAUAGUAUGUGCAAAGGGGAAAGGAAAAUGAGCAUGGAAGUAGAAAAAGAGACACAAUAAAAAUGAACUAAAAAACAAAACAGCAAAUAUUUGGCAAGCACAGAGUGGAACGCCGAGCUGUCUGUCAGCAUCCCUACGCUGCACCUCAGAUACCAAGGAUUUCAGCCUGGCUGCCUCUGCAUCUCGUUUGCAGUGUUCUGUUGCAUUUGUUAAGAUAAAGCUAAUCCUCUCUGUAUUGUUCCCAUUUGAAACUGGAAGCAACUUUUUAAAAUGUUGAACAAUACAGUAGAAGAGAGAUAAGCUGCUUUAUCUGCCACACUCAGCCGCAAGCCUCACCCACAGACAGCUAAACCUACAUUUCACUGUUACAGCGGUUCAAGUAAAUCUAAAAGCUAAACUGAAAUCUGAGAAACUGAAAAUCUAUCACAGUACCAGCGAGCAGGAAAACAGAUGAGGAUGAGAAGCAAGCUGGAGAUUUUCCAAUCUACUGCAGACUGCUGGCUCUUCCAGGCUGUUACACAGAGAGAGGUUCUGCAACAACAGUUUUUUCACCUGUGAUUCAUUUUAAACAAUAGAUCUGAUCCUGAGUAAGUGUUACUUAUCUAGUUCAUGCUGGAUGUUCCUGACACAGUGCAUUAGAGUGAGUUUAAAAAAAUAUAAAAAAUAAAAAUCACUUUCAAAAGGAGCGGAUUUACUUCUAAAGUGACUCCUCUGAUCAGCUCUGCUCACAGCGCUUUGAUUUGCGUCACGCAGCCAUCAUGACCUGCCUGAAUUGAUUCCUGUCAGCUGAAAUUAAAACCUUAAAAUGCUGCCCAACAAACCCAGUCUGAAGCAACCUCUUCUCUUCAUGAAACGCACUGUGUGUAGAUGGGUAGGUGUAGGCUAGGACUUGGACUAAUUCAGGUCAGAAGGGACCUCUGGAAGUCAUCUGCUCCCAUCCCCUGGCUGAAGCAGCACUGACCUAGGUUGCUCAGGGCUUUGUCCAGCUGAGCUCUCCAACCUCUCUGGCCAAUCUGUUAAUCUGUUUUGGUUUUUAAAUAUCCUCAUUCCAAAAGCUUUUUUUUUUUUUAACGUAAUAUUUAAUUGGAUUUUCCAUGUUGCAGUUUUGUUGACUCUGGUCCUGUCUUCUCCAUACCCUUGAGUAGCUGAAGAGAGCAAAAAGAUCCCCUUCACCCUUCCCUGCUUAAAGCACAAAUUUUUAAUGUGCACCUAAGCUGCAGUACCGACUCUGAGGCUGUGACGCCAGGCAACAUUCUCCUUUUGCUUGUCACAAGCAUUUUGCAAUCAGCUGGCCCUCAGCACCGGCCGUGCAGCUCUGCUCUGGCUUAUGCAGAUGCAUCCUGCACCUCGCCGGUCUGCGUGCGGUGAGCACAAGGCCAGGCUGCCUGCGAGUGCUGCAGCGCGCUCAGACAGGUAAUUUUAGGGCUUGGCUACGAGCCAUAAGAAGCUUAAUUGCAUUAGCCCAGAUAAGUCAUUCAGCAAAACCAUUUCAACAGAGAGGGCCAACAAGCAGACCCUUGGCUACAAACUCAUCCCUUCAGUACUGGAUCUGGAUUGGAAUUAAGAAGAAGGAAAAAGCUGCAGCUCUUACGGACCUCAGUGUGAACAGGCUGCUGUUUAGGUGGCUGGAGGGAUUGUGCCACUGUGUCACGGUCCUCCUCAACCUCAACACUAAUGCAAAGCUAACGUGAUACAGUCCUGACUCAUCUCUGCUUUUGUAUAUAUUUAAAAUCUCAGUUGCUCCCAGCAGCAACUAAUUAUUUAUUAAUCCUGCCAUAGUAGAUGCUGUGAGGGAUUUACAGUAAUUAAUACAAGCUAAUCUGCUUUCUGCUCUGAACGUGAAAUAAUGAAGCAGUGACUGACCCCAAGCUCCAGAGCUGCAAACACAAGGCUGAGGCCUGUGCCACCUUUUCCCUGGUGCUCAGGAAAUGUACCAGCAGUGUGCAGGACAGUACCUUAAAACAAUUGUCUCCCCUGUUUUAAACCAACAGAAAGUGGACAAUUGCAUCCGUCACCUCUACAUCCGUCACCUAAAUCUUUCAAUUUAUUUCUGUCACUCUUUGUGGGAUGAAAGGUAUGUCAGUGUAGCUCAUGAUCAUGGGCCGGGGUGACUAUUUAUAUUACAAUCCAUUCCAUUGCUAAUACUUUACAAUCCCUAUCGUGGAUUUGUUUGCCUGUGCAAUAAAGGUAGGAGAUUCACAGUGCUGGCUGUAUUUACAAGGUACUCUGUACUGAUGAGCAUCAUGAGCAGAGGGAGAUAUGAGAAAAAAUACCUGUAAAUCAGGUCUGAAUCAGUUCAACUUUGCAUCAUGCCAUUCAUCACGUAUUCCCUUCUUAGAUGCACUCAUGAUUAGCAAGACAAGAAACAGUAAAAAGAAACCCUUCUUUCCCUACUUGACCCAACAGACGUAUCCUUGCUUAACAUACCCUUGUGCUUCUCCGCUGACACCAGCCCAGCAUUUCCAAAGAGCGAGAUGCUACACACAUGCUAGGGUACCAAGUGCCCCCUUCCAAAUCACUGAGCCAUUUUUCCUACACAAUGGAAAGGUAACUGCAGAGCAGUUAGGCUCAUCUUAAUGAAGAGCAGCUGGAAACACUGGCCAGCAUAAUUAGUAAAAGAAUGCAGCAAAUAUUUAGAUAAUGAAAUCUACAAACAACCUCUGUGAUGACAAAGGUAAGAGUGAUAAGCAGCCAUGAUUUAAAACAAACUAAUUAUUUCAGAUAAAUCUAUUCUCUUUCUGGAUAAAGAACAUAGGAAAUUUACUAAAUCUGGUAAUGAGUAAAACAUAGUGGGAUGGAGUGCAGCUGCAGAAAUGUCAAACUAUCCUCACAAGGUUAUCCUUGACAUUCCGGGAGAAAUGCAAACAACAGAAACUUGGAAGAAGAAUUCCUAAGUGUCCUUAAAGAAGUAUAAUUAGUUACUGCAGGUCAAAACUAUACUAAAUAGCAUGAUGGUGAUGAGAGCAAAAAGAAAGCUGAUUUUGCCUCUUGCACUUUGCCAUUAAGUAAAAGAAAUAAAUGAUAGGCACCCCAAAAUUCAGAUGCAAAUAUGGUAUUCUAGAGCAAUGCUAAUGCAGUAAUGAUUAUAUUGUUAUGCAAAGCUGUACAAUUUAUUUUUGCUUCUUCUUUUAAACUAUAGAAUGAAAUCUCAUUCUUCAAUGUAAAUUCUCCUUCAUCUCAAAUUCAAUUUCAUUUAUGCAUUUUAACUUGAAUUGCCAGGAAAAAAUACAGAUUUUUCACAUAUUAACUCUUUUAAAUGAUGCAACAGUAACUGCUGCCCUCUUUAAAAGCAGAAAACAAAAACAAAACAAAAAAACUGCAACAACAAAAAAACAACUACAGAACAUAAUUUUCACUGUUUUCUUUUUUUUUUUUUCAUACAGAACAGGACUGCAAAUUUGAAGACACUGAAAGCACAGCUUCAGUGAACGACUUCCACAUAUGUGCUCUCUUGUUUAACAUACAUUUAGCAUGGUGACAAAAAAAAAUAAAAAAAACAUUUACCCCCCUCCUAGCAAGUUUUUUUCUGCUCAACAAGGAAAGAGUACUUGAAGUUGAAACCACAGUGGGGAGUGGUUUCAAUGGCUUUAGGUUCUGCUGUUGACCCUCUGUACAUGUAUGUCUGAGAGAUAUUCCAUAUGGAAACAAAAUAUUAAAAAGAAAAACAAAUAAGCCUUUUGUAAUUAUUUCAAUUGGAAACUCAUAUUCUGAAGAAAACUACUGUAUGUUUGCAAGUCCAGGAAGAGGAAAAAAAAGUUGCUGCAUUACAAUGGACAUCUAUUUCUGGUAUAGCUAUAGGGCUUUUUCAA